GACGAACCGUGCGAACGUUGUUCGGAAUCACUGGGCUUAAAGGGCGCGUAGGCGGUCUGUCAAGUCAGGGGUGAAAGCCUCCAGCUUAACUGGAGAAGUGCCUUUGAUACUGACGGACUCGAGUGAGGUAGGGGUAGUGGGAACUUCCGGUGGAGCGGUGAAAUGCGUUGAUAUCGGAAGGAACGCCGGUGGCGAAAGCGCACUACUGGACCUCUUCUGACGCUGAGGCGCGAAAGCCAGGGGAGCAAACGGG
rnacentral:rRNA from 1 species